GGUGGUUCUCGAGUGACGCAUCCAGAAUCGGCCUCCCUCCUCUCUGGUUCUGGGUGCGUUACCUGAGAACCGCA
rfam:Myotis lucifugus cont2.7487, whole genome shotgun sequence.